rnacentral:rRNA from 1 species
UGGGCGUAAGAGCUCGUAGGCGGUUUGUCGCGUCUGCCGUGAAAGUCCGGGGCUCAACUCCGGAUCUGCGGUGGGUACGGGCAGACUAGAGUGAUGUAGGGGAGACUGGAAUUCCUGGUGUAGCGGUGAAAUGCGCAGAUAUCAGGAGGAACACCGAUGGCGAAGGCAGGUCUCUGGGCAUUAACUGACGCUGAGGAGCGAAAGCAUGGGGAGCGAACAGGAUUAGAUACCCUGGUAGUCCAUGCCGUAAACGUUGGGCACUAGGUGUGGGGGACAUUCCACGUUUUCCGCGCCGUAGCUAACGCAUUAAGUGCCCCGCCUGGGGAGUACGGCCGCAAGGCUAAAACUCAAAGGAAUUGACGGGGGCCCGCACAAGCGGCGGAGCAUGCGGAUUAAUUCGAUGCAACGCGAAGAACCUUACCAAGGCUUGACAUGGACCGGACCGGGCUGGAAACAGUCCUUCCCCUUUGGGGCUGGUUCACAGGUGGUGCAUGGUUGUCGUCAGCUCGUGUCGUGAGAUGUUGGGUUAAGUCCCGCAACGAGCGCAACCCUCGUUCUAUGUUGCCAGCACGUGAUGGUGGGGACUCAUAGGAGACUGCCGGGGUCAACUCUGAGGAAGGUGGGGAC